GACGAACCGUGCGAACGUUGUUCGGAAUCACUGGGCUUAAAGGGCGCGUAGGCGGGUCUGCAAGUCCGGGGUGAAAGCCCCCAGCUCCACUGGGGAAGUGCCUUGGAAACUGCGGGUCUAGAGGGAGGUAGGGGCAUGUGGAACUUCGGGUGGAGCGGUGAAAUGCGUUGAUAUCCGAAGGAACGCCGGUGGCGAAAGCGGCGCACUGGACCACAUCUGACGCUGAGGCGCGAAAGCUAGGGGAGCAAACAGG
rnacentral:rRNA from 1 species